AAUAAGAUAAAAAGAAAAAACAUGUCAUUCUAUUAUUCAAUUCAAACCUUUUUUUCCUUAGAAAAUUUAUUCAAUUCAAACUCAAGUGUCUUACAUUAUUUACUUAUCUGGUUUUAAGAGGCAGGAAGGAAAAUGAAUGUUUUUCGCUUCCAUGAUGGUGUGUCACAUUCGUAACAGAGUUUUUAUGGCCAUAUCAAGGUUUUGUGAUGAUGGUAACAAAUGUUUUGCUGUGAUUUCUCAUCCUGAAAACAGGACCUCACACUCCUUAACCUUGACUCAAAUAAGUGGAGCUAUCCAACCCCAUAGCAUGAAAUCAAAGGGUAAACACUUAUUUUGUUUCCUAAAUGUGUCUUAUGUUAGUAAUUUUAGUGAUCAAAUUGACUAGCGGAAGACACAUUCAAUUGACAAACUAAUUAACAAAAGACACAACCAAACUGGCUUAUGAAAGAUGUAUAUAUUUCUGUAAGUUUUGAUAUAUUCAAAACCUAUUGUCGCAACACCACAACGUUUAAGAGCCAAAGGGAUUGUUUAAUCCGCAAUCAAUUUGAAAAUUUCAGGAAUUUUUAUUUCAGCUAUGUUGCCAAUAGCACGCUAUAGCGGUGUAGUUUGGCAGCGCUGCCCUCCACUUCCGCACCAUAGGCCCGAAAAGCGCCAUUGAGAGUAUCAUCACUAGCGGCCUAUAUUAGUGGUUAAAAAGCAGCGCCAUUGCGGCGCUGGUGCUAUCCCGGUACCGUUGUGAUUUGAUAUCUGCUAUUGCAAUUUUAGGGAAAAAUUCUCAAAAAUCCUGUUACCGUAUCUUUGAGUUUGAGUUCUGUCAUUGUUGCCUUGUAUUGACCAUGAAAAUAAGGAAGUUAGUGUCAUUCACAGAGAUAACUUGUGUAGCAAGUUAUCUUGUUAGUUAUCCAUAAUUAACUGUCAUAGCUAGAAUCUUGUAUAGCGUAUCUACAAUAGCUAUCAUACACACUCUUGUGUCCUAUAAGACAAAUAUGGUAUGACUUAUGAGAGCCUGGUUAUGUCAUCAUUGUUCUCCAUCCUUGCUCUAUUUCUGUGCAAAAGUUUGCACUGUCCAUCCUUUCUAUUUCUGCUCGAGUUCUUUUUUGGUUCGUUUCUGGUUUCGUUCUUCUCCUUCCUUUAUGUUUUUGCAUUGUUAUGUUUGUUUUUGGAAUUUAUGUUUAAUUUAUGUUUUUGACAACAAAGAAUUUCAGAGACUAAAUUGAUGGCUCUCAAAUUUUUUAAUGAAUAUAAGUGAUUCACUCUUUUAACCUAUUGACCAUUAUGCUACUUUAUUAUUGAAGCAAUCCCCAAGUUAGUCAUGAAAUUGUAGGAGUCGAACACUGGAUUUGAGUGGUUGUUCCAAUGUUAUCACAGAAUAGGGAAGGAAUUUAAAAUGGUAUACACAGUUCACCUAAUAGAUUGAGUAAACACAUGACCUUAGAUGUUGUAUUUGCAACUAGUCUUGUUGUGUGUGAUUCAAAAUCAUUUUAAUCUGAAGCUACUUGUUUCUCAAGAAAGUGGAAAUACAAGGCGGUUUUCUUGCUCAGCAAGUCUGUUGAGACGCAAGGCGGUUUCUUGAAGUGCAAGACAAAUAGAGCUAAUUUGUUGAUAGCAAAUGAUAAAUAUGGUGUAGUGAAAGUGAUGUAUUGUAAUGAAACAAUAAGACUUCUGAACUGUUAUGAAUCUACACCAGUUUUAAUGGAGUCUGGUAGGAGGCUUUGCAUUAGUCAUAUUAAAUUUAUCCAACAAUUCUUGAAUAUAAUCAUGUUGAGAUAAAAGGAUACCCUCCUUUGUGGGAAUGAGUUCAAUUCUCAGGAAUUAAUGAGGAUGGCCAAGAUAUUUAAGUGAGAACCUAUUUGACAGUUGUUCCAUUUACUGCUUUAAGAAUUCACUUUGAAUACAUGUCAAAAGAAGAUCAUCUUCAUAGAACAAAAGAAAGACAUUGUUGUUGUAAAUGAAUAAUGAGCAAAAGAAUAAGCAUAACAUGAGCAAAUUGUACAGGUUAAAGAUUCAAUACAAUUUAGGUAUCGCUUUCAAUAUGACUUAGUUGUUAAUUCGAAUUUUAGUAAACUCAAAAGUGAAACCGACUUUACAUUG